ensembl:lncRNA
CUGCUCAUUAAGCAACUGUGGAAUUUCUCCAGAAAAAAUGAGCAUCUUGCUUCUAAACUGAGUAAACUUGAUAGAGAAGGCACUUUGAAAAUGGCUACAACAAGAAAUAUGGCUUUCCCUGCUUCAAGAUCCGGUAUUAACCCAAUAGUGGGAGAAGAGGUCGCUUGCAACGUUAUCGAUUGAAAGCCUGGGCGGAUGCUCAUUGCAGGAGAAUCGGACCAGGAGACCUUUAAUAGUCCAUCCCAACUCAAACGAUUCUACGAUUCCAUGACUUUCCUUUCCGUCCAGCAGCUCCGAGCUGUCACUUCGUGCUGUCUUCACCACCGUCCCAGCGGCCGUGUGCCCCAACGAGAGCGAGCAGUGACCCCCCCGGCGGGUCCCGGGGGAGCCGCCCCCACCCCCUCCUCCUCCGCCCGGCCGAAGUGAGGGAUCGUGUUGGAGCGCCCCACAGCAGAAGGAGAGGCUGCAGUGCCGUUAUCUCUCCCCAUCUCUUCCGUCUGGCUCUGGUGGGCUUCCCUCUCAGGGUGAAACACAAGGAGGAGAGUAACAGAGCGCUUCCUCUUGCUGAUGUUUGCUUGUUAUUGCAGCUAAUUUGCUCCGAGAGGAGAAAUAAACCGCGCUUUCAGCUGCCCCGUUAAUUCCCGUCCUUUCAGGCCAACGGCACAACUCCGGGCAUCAUUAAAAAUUAUACUACUAAUAAUAGAAUUAGGGAAAACUCCGUCUUUCUCUUCGUUAAUUAAAAGAAAUCUCAUCUCCCCCUCCCCGGCUCUCCCCACCCGCGGCUGAUUGACAAAGUGAGCAGAAUCCGUGUUCUCACACCGCCGGGUAUCUAUUACAUGAGAACUUUCUUCUGGCGCCAGGAGGUAUUUGGAGAGCUUGCCUGCCUAUUCCGCAGGGAAACCGCUGCGAGUUGGGGAUACCUGAGCAACGCCCCCGGCCAAACCGCGGGGAGAGCAGCGAGACUGUCCUAAGGUCUCGUUGUUGUCUCCCCCGCAUCGCUGCGCCGCAAAUGCCGGGGCGGCGGGGUCGCUCCCUGCGUCCCAGCCCUUCCCCUGCGCUCCCCGAGCGGGGCAGCCCCGGGGCCGCUGCC